AGAGUUUGAUCAUGGCUCAGGACGAACGCUGGCGGCGUGCUUAACACAUGCAAGUCACGGGGGUCCGCAAGGGCAACCGGCGAACGGGUGCGUAACACGUGAGCGACCUGCCUGGAAAUGGGGGAUAGCCGGCCCAACGGCCGGGUAAUACCGCAUACGCUGCUCGAGGGGCAUACCUUGGGCAGGAAACCUCCGGGGUUUUCAGAGGGGCUCGCGGCCUAUCAGCUAGUUGGCGGGGUAAUGGCCCACCAAGGCGAUGACGGGUAGCUGGUCUGAGAGGAUGGCCAGCCACAUUGGGACUGAGAGACGGCCCAGACUCCUACGGGAGGCAGCAGUGGGGAAUCUUGCGCAAUGGCCGAAAGGCUGACGCAGCGACGCCGCGUGUGGGAGGAAGCUCUUCGGGGUGUAAACCACUGUUGCCCGGGACGAACGAUGAGCAUUUGCUCAUGUGACGGUACCGGGUGAGGAAGCACCGGCUAACUCUGUGCCAGCAGCCGCGGUAAUACAGAGGGUGCGAGCGUUGUCCGGAAUCACUGGGCGUAAAGGGCGCGUAGGCGGCUCGGUAAGCGUGCGGUGAAAGCCCGGGGCUCAACCCCGGGUCGGCCGUGCGAACUGCGGAGCUGGAGCACUGUAGAGGCAGGUGGAAUUCCGGGUGUAGCGGUGGAAUGCAGAGAUCCGGAAGAACACCGGUGGCGAAGGCGGCCUGCUGGGCAGUUGCUGACGCUGAGGCGCGACAGCGUGGGGAGCAAACAGGAUUAGAUACCCUAGUAGUCC
rnacentral:rRNA from 1 species